CAGCAAACUUGUGUCAUACUAAAGUUCUUGCGUGCGUACAAAUAACUAUACGGUAAUUUGCAAACAAUGGCGAACAUAGGCACACUGUUCGUAAUCGGGUAUUUUGCAAGAUUUUGUAGCAGUGAGACUGGCCCGUUUGUGUCCUUAAAACAAGGUGACCUUUUAGGAAGAUAUUUUACAACAAGAAAAGGAAUAACUGUGAGUGGCUUUAGUGGAACCAAACCACCCAUUGGAGAACUUCGAUUAAAGACUUCAGUUCCAUUGGAGCAGUGGAGUGGUACCUUAAACGCUACGCAACCCCACGCGAUUUGUCCCCAGGUAAACUACCGGAAGAUAAAUGGAAUAACUUAAGUUACCCUGUCCUCUUCUACAUACAUGGGGGAGCAUUCUCAGUUGGUAGUGCUAGGUAUGAUUGGUUGGAACCUGAGUUGCUUUUGGACAAAGAUCUUGUUUUAGUCACUAUCCACUACAGAUUAGGGGCUCUAGGAUUUCUAUCUACUGGAGAUGCCAGUAUACCCGCAAAUAACGGCCUAAAAGAUCAAGUGUUAGCCUUGCGAUGGGUUAAAGACAACAUAGCGAGAUUCGGCGGAGAUCCUCAGAAAGUUACGAUUUGUGGAAAUUCAGCUGGGGCACAUAGUGUUCACUUACUGACGCUUUCGCCUAUGGCAAAAGGUAGUAUUAACGUUGAAAUCAGGUUUAACGGUCUUUCAGGUCUUAUAACCAGUGCUAUCAUUCAGAGUGGGUUUGCAAUACCCCAAAUCGCUGUCAUAUCACGAAACGAAUCCAUUAUGUAUGCCCAGCGGUUUGGUCAAAAAUUGAACUGUUCAUCAGGUACGAGUACGAGCUAAAGUGUCUUCAAGACAAAGACUUGUAUAAUAUUGUCAAACAACAGCUAACAUUUUCGACUUGGGAUCCUGCUAAAUUUGGCAAAUAGGCUGCGCAAGUUCUACUUUGGAAACCAAACGAUUGGCGUUAGAACUAGACCUGAGAUCAGUCAGUAGUUUAGUCCUUGGUAUGCAGCAUUUCUGAUAUUUUUCUCAGUUGUACACAGAUGGGUGGUUCCUAUCAGGAGCCGACUGCUUGGUGCAAAACCAUUUAGCACACAGAAAGCAGCCCAUAUACUUCUACUACUUUGACUACAUGGGGUCGAAAAGUUACGCAUCUCUGUAUAAUGAUCCCAGCUUUAUUUCUGGGGCAAGCCAUACAGAUGAAUUGUUUUAUUUGCUGUCUCGAAAUGUGCUUUUCCGGGCUACAAUCCUACGUCAUUCGACGAUGAAAUGACCGAAACAAUGACAAGUUUGUGGUACAACUUUGUUCAAUAUGGGUAUGGCGGAAGAGAACGUCACAUGGUCUUACCUCCAUUUUAGGAACCCAACACCAGUGAAUGAAUCAGAUAUGCCACCUUGGCAGCGGGUUAUCAGCGACAAUUUGGCAUAUUAUCAAAUAAGGGGGCCACGCAAGAUAGGCAUGAACAGCUGUCUACUCUCAAGUAGAAGAUAUUUCUGGAGGAACAUGAAAAUUGAUGUACGAGUAGAUAAGUUCGAUCCAUGAUCCUGCGUUUUAAG